rnacentral:rRNA from 1 species
UACAGAGGGGGCAAGCGUUGUUCGGAAUUACUGGGCGUAAAGGGCGCGUAGGCGGCCACCGCAAGUCGACUGUGAAAUCUCCGGGCUUAACCCGGAAAGGUCAGCCGAUACUGCGGGGCUAGAGUGCAGAAGGGGCAACUGGAAUUCUCGGUGUAGCGGUGAAAUGCGUAGAUAUCGAGAGGAACACCUGCGGCGAAGGCGGGUUGCUGGGCUGACACUGACGCUGAGGCGCGAAAGCGUGGGGAGCAAACAGG